CUGAGUGAGGGUCUUUUGGCCCGACCUCCAACCCUCUGUUUAUUAUACCAUGUUGCUUUGGUGGGCCUGCCUUUCGGGGCUGCCGGGGGCAUCACCGCCCCUGACUCGUGCCUGCCAGGAGCCUUUUUAAAUUCCGUGUUCAACGGUGCUGUCUGAGUCCCACUGUCAAAACAUCAA
rnacentral:misc_RNA from 1 species